GAUCCUGGCUCAGGAUGAACGCUGGCGGCGUGCUUAACACAUGCAAGUCGAGCGAAGCACUUUGGUUUGAUUCUUCGGAUGAAGACCUUUGUGACUGAGCGGCGGACGGGUGAGGUAACGCGUGGGUAACCUGCCUCAUACAGGGGGAUAACAGUUAGAAAUGACUGCUAAUACCGCAUAAGACCACGGUACCGCAUGGUACAGUGGUAAAAACUCCGAUGGUAUGAGAUGGACCCGCGU
rnacentral:rRNA from 1 species